rnacentral:rRNA from 1 species
UACAGAGGUCUCAAGCGUUGUUCGGAUUCAUUGGGCGUAAAGGGUGCGUAGGCGGCGCGGUAAGUCGGGUGUGAAAUCUUGGAGCUUAACUCCGAAACUGCAUUCCAUACUGCGGUGCUUGAGGACUGGAGAGGAGACUGGAAUUCAUGGUGUAGCAGUGAAAUGCGUAGAUAUCGUAAGGAAGACCAGUGGCGAAGGCGGGUCUCUGGACAGUUCCUGACGCUGAGGCACGAAGGCCAGGGGAGCAAACGGG